rnacentral:rRNA from 1 species
UACGGAGGAUCCAAGCGUUAUCCGGAAUCAUUGGGUUUAAAGGGUCCGUAGGCGGUUUGGUAAGUCAGUGGUGAAAUCCGGCAGCUCAACUGUCGAACUGCCAUUGAUACUGUAGGACUUGAAUUAUUGUGAAGUAACUAGAAUAUGUAGUGUAGCGGUGAAAUGCUUAGAUAUUACAUGGAAUACCCGUUGCGAAGGCAGGUUACUAACAUAUAUUGACGCUGAUGGACGAAAGCGUGGGGAGCGAACAGG